UACGUAGGGGCCAAGCGUUUGUCCGGAAUUAUUGGGCGUAAAGAGCUCGUAGGCGGCUUGUCGCGUCGAUUGUGAAAGCCCGGGGCUUAACCUCGGGUCUGCAGUCGAUACGGGGCUGGCUAGAGUGUGGUAGGGGAGAUCGGAAUUCCUGGUGUAGCGGUGAAAUGCGCAGAUAUCAGGAGGAACACCGGUGGCGAAGGCGGAUCUCUGGGCCAUUACUGACGCUGAGGAGCGAAAGCGUGGGGAGCGAACAGG
rnacentral:rRNA from 1 species